rnacentral:lncRNA from 1 species
CCCUCAGGCGGCCUGUUCCACGCCAGGAUUAGUUUUGCUUCGCAGAUGGGCCGUGGUGGUGAGAGGAAGCAAUCAGUAUGGAAAUGGAGAAAUGGCUUACCAUGCAUGUCCUUCUCCCCAGGAGGGAGGUCGUGGUGCAGGCGAGCAGACGCCAGACUCCUGGACACUUGCCGCCUGCGUUAUGGAGGCUUAGCUAAUAACCUUGCAGGGGUCUUCAGGCUUUUCCACUGGCUCACCUUUAGGCUUCUGACACUUUUACCUACGAUUGAAAAAAGACGAGAUUCCAUGAGACUAGAAAUGUAGGAGCAUCUCAGACCUUCACAGAACGCUCUGUUAGAAGAUGAGAAACAUAACGUUGCUUGUGAGAGGUGAAGCCAGCUGGACUUCCUGGGUCGAGUGGGGACUUGGAGAACUUUUCUGUCUAGCUAAAGGAUUAUAAGUGCACCAAUCAGCACUCUGUAAAAACACACCAGUCAGCGCUCUGUGUCUAGCUAAAGGAUUGUAAAUGCACCAAUCAGCACUCUGUAAAAUGGACCAAUCAGUACCCUGUAAAAUGGACCAAUCAGCAGGACGUGGGCAGGGACAAAUAAGGGAAUAACAGCUGGCGCCCCUAGCCAGCAGUGGCAACCCACUCGGAUCACCUUCCAUGCUGUGGAAGCUUUGUUAUUUCACUUUUCACAAUAAAUCUUAGGGUUGCUUACUUUUUGGGUCCAUGCCACCUUGAAGAGCUGUAACACUCACCACGAAGGUCUGAGGCUUCAUUCUUGAAGUCAGACUAAGAACCCACCGGAAGGAACCAAUUCCAGACACACGUGUAGUAGCAAAUUAUCAAAAAUGUUCAUUGCCUUUUCUGAAAAACAAUUUUCCCAGAAACACCUGGCAGAAUCAGAGUUCAUUGUGUCAAAAGAAAAACUUUGGACAAAUUAAAAUGAGCAAAGAACAAUUUGUGAAAUGUGCCCCUCUCCCAACCAGAACAGGUUCAAAGAGACUCCAGUGCUGCCACAUGAUCAAAGAAUUAUGGACAAAAAAAGCAAAUAAAUUACAGGAAAAGAAAAUGAGAAACAGCUGGAUUGGUUACAGCUUGGUGUUUACCUUACUUGAACAAGGUUCGAACAGUUGGCUGCCUUUGAUGGGCUGCAACACAGUGAUUGGUAUAAGAGUAGGUUACAGCCUGUUUACACAUGCAGUUAGGUUACAAUUCACUGUGUGUUGAGAAACCUUUAGGCCAAACUUAAAAUUUGUAAGGAGGCAGCUUUAGGCUUAACUUGAUUUAAAAGUUAUUAGAUGUUCCAUCAGUCGUUUCGCCAAUAGGUAAUAGGUUUUUUUGGUUUUGUUUUCUGUGCUAUUAAAAUAGUAUAUAAAACUUGUCAUCAUUGAUUCUGAUUUAUCAUGUUACAGUUCAGUCUCUAAUUGAACUGAGCCUAUUUUUUUCCGUAAAAUCCAACCUAUUCAUCCAUUUAUACAGAUUUUUUAAAAUCUAAAUAUUUUAUAUCAAAUUGCUAAAAAUGUUUAGUCACAUUCUUUUUCUAUUGCUGCCCAUAUAUUUUCUGCCAUCAUUUUCAGCUGCUAAAUAGUAUCUAGUCCUAGAUAUCUGGUUACCCAUUAUCAGGAACUCUUCGUGAAAUGCUUUAGUGACCUUGUUUAAGUCAGUAAUAAAGUUGAGAUUUAUAAUCAUAUUCUAUUACCAAAAAAAAUACAGGUAAUAGAUUUUCAAAUGUCAGCCCAUGUCUACUCCUUUAUUUCCCAGUGUGGCAGAAUUUUUGAACAGUGAAAAUAUUUCUGUCUGAGGAAGUUUGGACUAUGUGGUGUGAGAUCCGUAGACAUUGGACUAAUGUCAUUAACAUAUUUU